UACGGAGGGUGCAAGCGUUAUCCGGAUUUAUUGGGUUUAAAGGGUCCGUAGGCGGACUGAUAAGUCAGUGGUGAAAUCUCAUAGCUUAACUAUGAAACUGCCAUUGAUACUGUUAGUCUUGAGUAUAGUUGAGGUAGCUGGAAUAAGUAGUGUAGCGGUGAAAUGCAUAGAUAUUACUUAGAACACCAAUUGCGAAGGCAGGUUACCAAGUUAUAACUGACGCUGAGGGACGAAAGCGUGGGGAGCGAACAGG
rnacentral:rRNA from 1 species